rnacentral:rRNA from 1 species
AACGAACGCUGGCGGCAUGCCUAACACAUGCAAGUCGAACGAGACCUUCGGGUCUAGUGGCGCACGGGUGCGUAACGCGUGGGAACCUGCCCUUAGGUUCGGAAUAACUCCCCGAAAGGGGUGCUAAUACCGGAUACUGUCUUCGGACCAAAGAUUUAUCGCCUUUGGAUGGGCCCGCGUUGGAUUAGCUAGUUGGUAGGGUAAAAGCCUACCAAGGCGACGAUCCAUAGCUGGUCUGAGAGGAUGAUCAGCCACACUGGGACUGAGACACGGCCCAGACUCCUACGGGAGGCAGCAGUGGGGAAUAUUGGACAAUGGGCGAAAGCCUGAUCCAGCAAUGCCGCGUGAGUGAUGAAGGCGUUAGGGUUGUAAAGCUCUUUUACCCGGGAUGAUAAUGACAGUACCGGGAGAAUAAGCUCCGGCUAACUCCGUG